GACGAACGCUGGCGGCGUGCUUAACACAUGCAAGUCGAACGGAAAGGCUCCAGCUUGCUGGAGUACUCGAGUGGCGAACGGGUGAGUAACACGUGGGUGAUCUGCCCUGCACUUCGGGAUAAGCCUGGGAAACUGGGUCUAAUACCGGAUAGGACCGCACUUUGGUGUGUGUGGUGGAAAGGUUUUUCUGGUGUGGGAUGAGCUCGCGGCCUAUCAGUUUGUUGGUGGGGUAAUGGCCUACCAAGACGGCGACGGGUAGCCGGCCUGAGAGGGUGGACGGUCACAGUGGGACUGAGAUACGGCCCAGACUCCUACGGGAGGCAGCAGUGGGGAAUAUUGCACAAUGGGGGAAACCCUGAUGCAGCGACGCCGCGGGGGGGAUGAAGGCCUUCGGGUUGUAAACUCCUUUCGCUAGGGACGAAGCUUUUUGUGACGGUACCUGGAGAAGAAGCACCGGCUAACUACGUG
rnacentral:rRNA from 1 species